GGGUAUCGCCAAGCGGUAAGGCACCGGUUUUUGAUACCGGCAUUCACAGGUUCGAAUCCCGUCGUAGCCACCA
rnacentral:tRNA from 1 species